AAGGUUAAGCCUCACGGUUCAUUAGUACCGGUUAGCUCAACGCAUCGCUGCGCUUACACACCCGGCCUAUCAACGUCGUCGUCUUCAACGUUCCUUCAGGACCCUUAAAGGGUCAGGGAGAACUCAUCUCGGGGCAAGUUUCGUGCUUAGAUGCUUUCAGCACUUAUCUCUUCCGCAUUUAGCUACCGGGCAGUGCCAUUGGCAUGACAACCCGAACACCAGUGAUGCGUCCACUCCGGUCCUCUCGUACUAGGAGCAGCCCCCCUCAGUUCUCCAGCGCCCACGGCAGAUAGGGACCGAACUGUCUCACGACGUUCUAAACCCAGCUCGCGUACCACUUUAAAUGGCGAACAGCCAUACCCUUGGGACCUACUUCAGCCCCAGGAUGUGAUGAGCCGACAUCGAGGUGCCAAACACCGCCGUCGAUAUGAACUCUUGGGCGGUAUCAGCCUGUUAUCCCCGGAGUACCUUUUAUCCGUUGAGCGAUGGCCCUUCCAUUCAGAACCACCGGAUCACUAUGACCUGCUUUCGCACCUGCUCGCGCCGUCACGCUCGCAGUCAAGCUGGCUUAUGCCAUUGCACUAACCUCCUGAUGUCCGACCAGGAUUAGCCAACCUUCGUGCUCCUCCGUUACUCUUUAGGAGGAGACCGCCCCAGUCAAACUACCCACCAGACACUGUCCGCAACCCGGAUCACGGGUCCACGUUAGAACAUCAAACAUUAAAGGGUGGUAUUUCAAGGCCGGCUCCAUGCAGACUGGCGUCCACACUUCAAAGCCUCCCACCUAUCCUACACAUCAAGGCUCAAUGUUCAGUGUCAAGCUAUAGUAAAGGUUCACGGGGUCUUUCCGUCUUGCCGCGGGUACACUGCAUCUUCACAGCGAGUUCAAUUUCACUGAGUCUCGGGUGGAGACAGCCUGGCCAUCAUUACGCCAUUCGUGCAGGUCGGAACUUACCCGACAAGGAAUUUCGCUACCUUAGGACCGUUAUAGUUACGGCCGCCGUUUACCGGGGCUUCGAUCAAGAGCUUCGCUUGCGCUGACCCCAUCAAUUAACCUUCCGGCACCGGGCAGGCGUCACACCGUAUACGUCCACUUUCGUGUUUGCACAGUGCUGUGUUUUUAAUAAACAGUUGCAGCCAGCUGGUAUCUUCGACUGAUUUCAGCUCCAUCCGCAAGGGACUUCACCUACAUAUCAGCGUGCCUUCUCCCGAAGUUACGGCACCAUUUUGCCUAGUUCCUUCACCCGAGUUCUCUCAAGCGCCUUGGUAUUCUCUACCUGACCACCUGUGUCGGUUUGGGGUACGAUUUGAUGUUACCUGAUGCUUAGAGGCUUUUCCUGGAAGCAGGGCAUUUGUUGCUUCAGCACCGUAGUGCCUCGUCAUCACGCCUCAGCCUUGAUUUUCCGGAUUUGCCUGGAAAACCAGCCUACACGCUUAAACCGGGACAACCGUCGCCCGGCCAACAUAGCCUUCUCCGUCCCCCCUUCGCAGUAACACCAAGUACAGGAAUAUUAACCUGUUUCCCAUCGACUACGCCUUUCGGCCUCGCCUUAGGGGUCGACUCACCCUGCCCCGAUUAACGUUGGACAGGAACCCUUGGUCUUCCGGCGAGCGGGCUUUUCACCCGCUUUAUCGUUACUUAUGUCAGCAUUCGCACUUCUGAUACCUCCAGCAUGCCUCACAGCACACCUUCGCAGGCUUACAGAACGCUCCCCUACCCAACAACGCAUAAGCGUCGCUGCCGCAGCUUCGGUGCAUGGUUUAGCCCCGUUACAUCUUCCGCGCAGGCCGACUCGACCAGUGAGCUAUUACGCUUUCUUUAAAUGAUGGCUGCUUCUAAGCCAACAUCCUGGCUGUCUGGGCCUUCCCACAUCGUUUCCCACUUAACCAUGACUUUGGGACCUUAGCUGGCGGUCUGGGUUGUUUCCCUCUUCACGACGGACGUUAGCACCCGCCGUGUGUCUCCCGUGAUAACAUUCUCCGGUAUUCGCAGUUUGCAUCGGGUUGGUAAGUCGGGAUGACCCCCUUGCCGAAACAGUGCUCUACCCCCGGACGAUGAAUUCACGAGGCGCUACCUAAAUAGCUUUCGGGGAGAACCAGCUAUCUCCCGGUUUGAUUGGCCUUUCACCCCCAGCCACAAGUCAUCCGCUAAUUCUUCAACAUUAGUCGGUUCGGUCCUCCAGUUAGUGUUACCCAGCCUUCAACCUGCCCAUGGCUAGAUCACCGGGUUUCGGGUCUAUACCCUGCAACUUAACGCCCAGUUAAGACUCGGUUUCCCUUCGGCUCCCCUAUUCGGUUAACCUUGCUACAGAAUAUAAGUCGCUGACCCAUUAUACAAAAGGUACGCAGUCACACGCCUAAGCGUGCUCCCACUGCUUGUACGUACACGGUUUCAGGUUCUUUUUCACUCCCCUCGCCGGGGUUCUUUUCGCCUUUCCCUCACGGUACUGGUUCACUAUCGGUCAGCCAGGAGUAUUUAGCCUUGGAGGAUGGCCCCCCCAUAUUCAGACAGGAUACCACGUGUCCCGCCCUACUCAUCGAGCUCACAAUAUGUGCAUUUUUGUGUACGGGGCUGUCACCCUGUAUCGCGCGCCUUUCCAGACGCUUCCACUAACACACACACUGAUUCAGGCUCUGGGCUGCUCCCCGUUCGCUCGCCGCUACUGGGGGAAUCUCGGUUGAUUUCUUUUCCUCGGGGUACUUAGAUGUUUCAGUUCCCCCGGUUCGCCUCAUUAACCUAUGGAUUCAGUUAAUGAUAGUGUGACGAAUCACACUGGGUUUCCCCAUUCGGAAAUCGCCGGUUAUAACGGUUCAUAUCACCUUACCGACGCUUAUCGCAGAUUAGCACGUCCUUCAUCGCCUCUGACUGCCAGGGCAUCCACCGUGUACGCUUAGUCGCUUAA
rnacentral:rRNA from 1 species